rnacentral:lncRNA from 1 species
AUAGAAGUGUCCCUCCUAAAAAUCUGAGUUUGAUUUAGAAAUCCAGUUAUACCUGCAGGUACUGAUGACUAAUUCCUUCUUUGAAGACAAAAUAAGCAGCUGUGUAGCUUCAGUGGCUCUCAAAUGGAUAAUAGAUUCAGUGUAUACUCGCUUUGAACUUUCCUGUUUUUUGAUCAGCUAGAUAAAUGACUUUAGUGGGUAAAUGUCUGCCUCCAAAACCAAAUUCUGACCCUGAUCUAAGUAUUCUACUGCACCGCUGUCACUGGAAUAUCAAAGUUGGCCUUCAGACUGGUGCCUGGUUCCUUGGAUUGGCUUGAGUAUUGAGGUCUGUCUCAUCUUACUAGGGAACUAAAAUGAUGUUGAUUGUUUUGUAGAGAAUUGUAAUUAGAGAUCUGUAGGUUCUUAAUUCUUUUGGAAUUCCAUUCUGAAAAUUUUCAACCUUAUGGUGUUGGUGGAGUGCUCAUGUGAAGAGUGAAACUGACUUAAGAAUAAAAGAAAAAGUGGGCAAAACUAAUGCUAAACUUGAGACCAUUGGGCAGAAAUUUGCCUGUGUGUGUAGAGUAAUUGGUCUUGAGUCAAAGUAACUAUGCUUAUUUUUAACAUCACUGAAUAUUUUCUAGCGUUACACUCUAUAUAGGCUUGUAGAAAUAAACCCAGGGGUAAGCCCAGAAAUUGAAUAUCAGUCCUAAAGAAAGCCUAUCAAGAGCAUCCUAUUCUCUUUAAGAGCUGCUAUUCGAAUUUAGGACUGGGCUGGUUUGCUGCUCAUUCUCUCGAGGCAUAGGCAGCCACACUUGAAUUUUGCCAAGUAUGCAGAUAAUUCCAACUUGUAGUCAGGAUCAUCAGGUAAUAGCAUUAUAAGGGGAGCUGUACAGACUGUAUACUUUCUACAGUUUGUAAGUUUAUAGAAAAUGCUUGUUUUAUAGUUGGUUGUUAUUGAGAUGAGAGUCCCUCAAGGAACUCCCUAUGCUUUAGGGAGCUUUUUGUUUUAAACCUACUGGUUAGACUUGUGGGUUUUAAUGUUUUCAGCUGUGGUUGUAAGAAACACAUUUUAAAUUGCACCUAGUAUAGACAUACAUGUAAAACAAACAAAAUUUUUACGAAGUAGUACUUGUAUUAAGAGUGAUGUACUCUGCUAUCUUCUAUUUCAUUUUUUUAAAGUUGAUAUUGCUGCCUUAAAUUGAUUUUUUCAACCACUAAUGAGUCAGGACCCACUAUUUAAAAAAUACUGGUGUGUUCUCUUGCUGUUACGAAUUAACCCAAAACUUAGUGGUUUAAAGCAAUAAACUUGUGUUUAUCUCAUGUAGGUUCUGUGGGUCAGGAAUCUGGGAGUAGCUUACUUAGGUGGUUCUGGGUCAGGGUUUUUCAUGAGGUUCCAAGGUGGCUCUCAUUUGGCAAGUCAGCUAUGGCUGAUGGUGGAAGUUCUUCAUUGGACUGCUUGAGUGUCCUCAAGCAGUGGCGAAGGCUAGCUACCCGCAGAGUAGGUGAUUCAAGCAAGAGCAGAGAGGAGGCCACACACCAUCACUUCUGCCAUAUUCUAUUAAAAAGAAGUCACUUAAGUCCAGCCCAAACUCAGGGGAUGAGUAUCAAAGAAUUAUGGACAUAGUUUAAUAGCUGCCACAUUUAUAUGUUUUUCCACUUUAUAUUUUAUUUAUUUAUUUAUU